GACGAACGCUGGCGGCGUGCUUAACACAUGCAAGUCGGACGGAAAGGCCUCUUUCGGGGGGUACUCGAGUGGCGAACGGGUGAGUAACACGUGAGUAACCUGCCCUUGACUUUGGGAUAACUUCAGGAAACUGGGGCUAAUACCGGAUAGGAGCUCCUGCUGCAUGGUGGGGGUUGGAAAGUUUCGGCGGUUGGGGAUGGACUCGCGGCUUAUCAGCUUGUUGGUGGGGUAGUGGCUUACCAAGGCUUUGACGGGUAGCCGGCCUGAGAGGGUGACCGGCCAUAUUGGGACUGGAUUAGGGCCAGGCCUCCGAGGGGGGGAGGAGGGGGGAAUUAUUGAAAAGGGGGUGGAACCCUGAUGCCGCCGCCCCGUGGGGGGGAUGCGGUCCUUGGGGUUGUAACCCGUUUUCCCCCAGGAAGAAGCUUUGUGUGACGGUAGUGGAUAAAGAAGCCCCGACUAACUACGUG
rnacentral:rRNA from 1 species